AAAUGAGAUAAAAGACAAUUCUUGCCCUCAAGGAGCUCAUAAGCCCCUGAGUUACAGUCUUUGGUUGGGGUGACCUCGGAGCAUAAAAUAACCUCCGAAUGAAUAUAACCUAGAUUAACGAAUCUAAGUAUACCGAUACCAGUAAUUGACCCAUCUCUUGAUCAAUGGAACAAGUUACCCCAGGGAUAACAGCGCAAUCCUAUUUGAGAGCCCAUAUCGAAAAUUAGGGUUUACGACCUCAAUGUUGGAUCAGGACACCCAAAUGGUGCAACUGCUAUUAAAGGUUCGUUCAACGAUUAAAGUCCUACGUGAUCUGAGUUCAGACCGGAGAAAUCCAGGUCGGUUUCUAUCUGUAAAUUCAUU
rnacentral:ncRNA from 1 species